GAUGAACGCUGGCGGCGUGCCUAAUACAUGCAAGUCGAGCGAACGGACGAGGAGCUUGCUCCUCUGACGUUAGCGGCGGACGGGUGAGUAACACGUGGAUAACCUACCUAUAAGACUGGGAUAACUUCGGGAAACCGGAGCUAAUACCGGAUAAUAUAUUGAACCGCAUGGUUCAAUAGUGAAAGACGGUUUUGCUGUCACUUAUAGAUGGAUCCGCGCCGCAUUAGCUAGUUGGUAAGGUAACGGCUUACCAAGGCAACGAUGCGUAGCCGACCUGAGAGGGUGAUCGGCCACACUGGAAAUGAGACACGGUCCAGACUCCUACGGGGGGCAGCAGUAGGGAAUCUUCCGCAAUGGGCGAAAGAAUGACGGAGCAACGCCGCGUGAGUGAUGAAGGUCUUCGGAUCGUAAAACGCUGUUAUUAGGGAAGAACAAAUGUGUAAGUAACUAUGCACGUCUUGACGGUACCUAAUCAGAAAGCCACGGCUAACUACGUG
rnacentral:rRNA from 1 species